rnacentral:rRNA from 1 species
AGUAACGCGUAGGAACCUGACGCGCAGUGGGGGAUAACGCUGGGAAACCGGCGCUAAGACCGCAUGUGGUCAUCCUUCGGGAUGAAGAAAGCAGCAAUGUGCUGUGCGAGGGGCCUGCGUCCGAUUAGCUGGUUGGUGGGGUAACGGCCUACCAAGGCGACGAUCGGUAGCUGGUCUGAGAGGAUGGUCAGCCACACUGGGACUGAGACACGGCCCAG